GGAUUGUCGUGGACCUUGGUUUCCACUCGUCCUCAUAUUUUCAUUAUCUUUAUAAAACCAUGGAUAAUACUCGUCUUCUUGAAUUAAAACCACAACACUCUCUCAUAUUCGUCAUCCUUAUUUCCGCACUUAUCACUGAGUCAGAAUGAAUCAAUCUUCAGCCGUAGUGGAAGAACCUUCACAGGGGCUGUACACAAGUCCGCCGCCGGUUGUUUAUCCGACCAGAGAUGCGGCUGGUGGUGAUCCUUUGGUAGCCCCAGAGGAGACUAAGUCCAAAAACUGUUGGAGAAAAUGUUUUGACACGUUAUGCUGUUUUUUCGAUAUCGUGCAAGUAUGCAUCUGGUGACGAGACUUCGGAGUUAGCGAUUCCAUGAAAAUUACCAGUGUAUUAUAUAUAUAUAUAUGUUUUGUGUAGACUUUCAUUUCAUUAUCUUAAACUUCAAACAUAUAGUAGUAUUCAUCCUC